CACCUCAUCACAUUAGAGCAAUUUGAUAGUUUAAAAGCAGAUGGUGAUGUAGUUUGUCUAGGGAAAUGAGCACUUAAUGAUGGACUAAGAUUAAUCAUAGCAUUUUGUAGUAAGGAUUGGUCAAAUCUGAACUUGAACGGGUGGAGCAAGAUAGGAAACAUCGAGAUGGAACAUAUAGGCACUCUAGUUGGUGGGAUUGGUGUAGUUGGGGGUGGUGAGUAUAAGGAGAUAAAAGUUAGGAAAAAUGAUAUCGUAUUGAACGGUGUAGGAAAGGAUAAUGGGAUGAAGAGAGUCAAGAAUGCAGUUGCUUGUAAAAAACUAUAAAAGAUAUAAGGUGGAGGUGCCAAGAGAGGGUUUGAAGGUGUAAGGAGUGAAAAAAAAAAAACAAAUGAUGGUGGAAGAACAAAAUGGUGGAGGUUGCAACCACCAUUAAAGCUUUCCCAUAACAAUUACCAUCACGUCCACCACUACCAAAGUUAACUAUAAUCUAAUGAUAUAGAAUCAUGUGGAUAUGUAACUGUAAGACAAAAUAAAAUUCAAUUAUAUUCCACCAUAAUGAUGUUUAACUAUAAUCCAUUAUGAAACACUACUUGCUAAGUAAAAGACUCUAACAUUGUUUGUU
rnacentral:lncRNA from 1 species